ensembl:lncRNA
CUGAAUGCGCGUGAAUUGGAUCUCAUAGCCGGAGCUCGAUCUUGGUUUGAUCUAGAAGUGAAUCCAUGUGAAUUUUACAACUAGUCGAUCACUAAUCGAAGAUAAAUGAGCGCUUAAAUAGUGUGGUGAACAUCUCUCCUCUCAACACUCACACGAUGACAGUUAAUGUCUGAGAUGAUGAGCCUCUCAAACUGCUGUGUCUUUGUGAGAGACCAGAGGACUGGAGCUAAGGGGGAAAACGCCAUCUGCAACUGCCAGCCAUUUACACUGCCUUUUUGGAGCAAGAGGGAGAGAGGAAAAAAUGGUGCAAUUGUCCAAAUGAAAGAAAAGAAAAAUAAUAGUCAACCCUCAUCCUUCUUCUACCAGCUCCCCUCCCUUCUUCAUCAACGGAAGCAUUUAGUGCCAUCUGUGCCCCCGGAGAAAAGAGGAAAAAAGGAAAGGAGUGAGACUCUACAUCCCAAGUGCCAAUGGGGACAAAGAGGCUGCCAGUUGCCACGGACCACCAGAUGCAGGAAGACUGCAAGUCUGAAUGAGGGGUGUGCUUUCAGGAAGCCAUCUUGAUGGAGAAACUGGCUGCUGCUCCCUAAAAUGGCUGUGUUGGCAUGAGGCUCCUGGCGAUGAAACUCUGAAAAAUUCCCAUCAUUGUCAUCAGCUGCUGGAGAAACCGUGGCCAUGCUGCUAUGUUUGACUCAAAUGGUCAAUCACAUCACCUCAGGAAUCCAGCGUCCAGCAUUUCUUCCAGAUGGUUCGCUGUGAAAAUUUAACAAGCAGAUGAUUUCGAAUGUGCACUAAUUGUCUUAAAACCUUGCAGACAAUCAGUAAUACUGGAUGGGUGUGUGGAUUUGGGCUGUUCGCCCAGUUAAAUCUUAGAUGUUAGAAAAUGUGUUGUACAAUCUUAUCAGUGCUGUGUAAACUGAAGAGCAUAAUGUGCCUUAAUGUGUGAAAAGUUUACAAUGAAAGUAGUUGUUAUUGAAACAUGUCAGUGCAAUCCCGAUUUUAAAUAUUAGUAUUUUCAAUGACCUUUCAUGUUAGUCAUCCAUGUUUCAUGUUAUUAUAUUAUAAAAUGUGCCUGUUUCAGUUGAUUUACAGGAAAUUGGUUAAUCCAGAUAUUUUGUAUGGCUACUGUAUGUAUGGUUUAAUACAAGAAUUAUGCUCAGUUUCUCUCUGGAUUAUCAUUUGUCUGAUUAUGUGAUAUGUGAAACAAA